GCCGAGGCAGCCCCGCGCCCGGCCGCCCCGCACCACCCGCCGACCCGCGGCUGCGGCCCCGACUGCGCCGCCCUGCGCCCGGCUCCCCGCCACCGAGCCCGGGGAGCCGAGAGGCGUGCGGCGGGGCCGUCGGCCGAGCCCCACAGCGCAGCGGGAGCGGCCGCGGGGCCGGGUGGGGGGCGCCGAGCAGAGGCCGAGGAGCUGCGGAGCGCGAGGGUCCGGCGGUAGCGGCCGGAUGGCGCCGGGAGUCCGAUGGCACGGGGAGGCGGAGCGGGUCGCGGUCUCGGGGACAAACGAGGGGGCGAGAGGAGCGCGGCCGCGCCGCUGCCUCCACCCGGGAGCCGGCGCUGGGGAGGCGGAACCGGGGAGCGGAAUCCCCGCAUCGCCUCCCGCGGACUCGGUGCCGGCCGAGCCGGGACGUCCCGAAGCGCUCCCGGGAGGGGCAGCCCCGGCACCGUCGCUCCGCGCUCGGGAACCGCCGGCCGUGCCCCGGGGCGACAGCCUCUGCCAAAGCCGUAGGGUCUGUGUGCGGAAAGUGCCACGUGUGAGUGUGUCGUUUCAGCUGAGUUUUGCAUGCAGUUGAAGAACAAUAUUUGUCAUGAAGAUUUCAUCUAAGUCUUCCUUGAAGCAGAAUGAAUUCCAGACUCGAGACCUCAUCUAAAUCAAACUGGAAUCUGUAUUAAGCUCAGAGUACAUUUUCAUUGUGUUUAUGUUCUACUUAUUUUUUUUUUUUAUUUUUAUUUUGCUGGCUGAAAUUAGCAUGUAUGGAACACCAAGUGUAGGGGACUGAGCUGUAUUCUUCUCUCCAGGAUAGUAAAGACAACGUUUUUGCUUCACAGAAAGAAAGGAAACAAACAACAAAAACAUAGAAAGAUGGUAAUACUUAUUCACUCCCACAUACCCUGAAGAAUCAAGACAGUAAUGAGAAGACACUGUAUUUAACCACUGUACUGACAGAAGAAUCAGUGAGUUUCAUAGCAGAAUAUUUAGUCUGAGAUAUUCUUACUCAAAGACAGCCCUUCAAAUGUUCACAUAACUGUCCACUUGUGCUCUGAGGGGAAAGAGAAAGUAAAUCAAGAACGCCUUCCUUAGAAAAACUGAAGAUUAAAUCUCAGUCUCAGUUGAGUUCCUACAUCUUCCACUGCUUUACACUCUAUGGGCUGCAAGUCUGUUCUGAGGCACAGGUACCCCAAAUGUACAUUUUACAUAAAUUAAAGAACCACUGUGGAAAUUACAUGAAGUGCUGGAGAAUAUAAUCCUUUCUGAGUUGUCUGACACACUCCAGAAACAGAUCUCUGCGGGAAACACUGAUUAUAUAUACCAGGUUUAAAAGCAGAACUAACAGUUAAAAGCUUGUUGAACAACGCAAUGAUACUGUAUUUCUUAACUUGGAAAGGUGUUCAUCCAUCCUGCUCAGCCAGGAUGUUCAUCCGGCCCGUUUACCAUUUAUGAGACAUUGUGUUAGCAUUGAAUUAGCUUAUAGAUUGUUUUAAUAUGACUUGAAGCAGUAGGGUGUAUAAUUGUUUGAAUGUUCCUUUCCACUGACUGCACAG
ensembl:lncRNA